CUUUAAUGCCUUGGUGCCAGACAUUUGUUUGUAUCAAAUGGGAUUUUCCAUAGAACAAGUGAAGUAAAGUCUCCAAAUUCUGUGAGAUAUGGCUACAUCAUGCAUGCUAUAUCAGGUAUUUUCAAUAUCUUCACCUCCAAAAUCCCACUGGGACAAGAAAUAGAGAUGCCAGAAUAUCACAAGGAAUAUUGCAGAGUAAUCUUGCUCCAAUUGGACAUGGGAGCUACAGGCAAGCACAGAAAUAAUCAGCCCAGCUUUGGUGCCUUUUGCAAUGUAAGUUGCUUUCCCUGUUGGUUGGCUGUGCCUGUUUCAGGGUAA
rnacentral:lncRNA from 1 species